UCAAGUUCUGUUACAGAGGGUGCGGCCACAGCAUAGACUCGGCGUCAGGCCCGGGCUGUGGAAUUAAUCUUUUGAGGGCGCGCGUUGGGCCCGGAACGAUGGAACGGCUUCUAGAAGGUACGCGAUGGGCCCAGCGGCGGACAGAGGUUCAAUUCCCGGAGGGACGUAGCAGAUUUUCCAUCAUGUUGAGAUGGCAGCAGUUCAGAAGAGGGCUCUCAGUGAACAGGGAGAUGAAGCCUCAGGGACAGCAAUUAACCAGAUGUAAGUGGCUCAUUCCGCUUGGCUUCAUCAAUUGUAGCCUUGUUGUUGAAUGUCUCCUCUCCACGACACCCACAAAACAACGUCUUCAUUUGGCACCAGACCUGUGACCACAUUACCUGAGAGCUAAGAGGUGCUGCAUUUGGCCCGCGUGAGGGAGAUCUGUGUCCAUGAAGCCAGGCAGUCAAUUUGCCUUUGGCUUGGAAUAUUCCUGAACAGAAGAUAAAGCUGGAUUUAAAUGAUAGACAAGUGUCUGCUGAUGGACUGUGUCUACCAAGAAUCAGAGAUCUCCCAUCUUGCCUCAUCUCCAUUCUCUUCAAUUCACCACCAGUGUCUGAUGCAGCUACAUUACAGUUCUAUCAACAGUAUCUGUGCUGUGCAAGAAGCAUGAAGAUCUUAGACUCUAUUUUUCCAACUUUCUGCAUUCUAGUUGGUUGUAAAUGUUGGCGCUGUUGUGCGGUGACAGGGUUGUGGCACUGAUGAUGUGAACUUUUGCAAGGACAAUAAAAUGCAUUGAGUGUUGA